rnacentral:rRNA from 1 species
UACAGAGGGGGCAAGCGUUGUUCGGAAUUACUGGGCGUAAAGGGCGCGUAGGCGGUCCGCUAAGUCGAACGUGAAAUCCCCGAGCUCAACUCGGGAACUGCGUCCGAUACUGGCGGGCUUGAAUCCGGGAGAGGGAUGCGGAAUUCCAGGUGUAGCGGUGAAAUGCGUAGAUAUCUGGAGGAACACCGGUGGCGAAGGCGGCGUUCUGGACCGCAACUGACACUGAGAAACGAAAGCCAGGGUAGCAAACGGG